AGGCCACGGAGCCGCGUAGAUCCGGAUCCCGGGCGACUGCUCUGUCCCCAUUGGGCGAGACCUACCUAGACAAAGGCCUGAACUAUGGACAAAGGCCUUAAAGGGCCUGGGAGGAAGUCGUAGAAAAUAAAUGUCUUCUGGUGAUGACUUUUGGAAAUGGAGUUGUUAGGCGGCCUCUGGAAAUGGCACAUCCAUGUUUGUUCAGUGGGUUAGAUGACAUGGAGCCGGAGGACCCGAGAAGGAAGGGAAGGUUCUAUGCCAGCCUGUUCAUAUUUAGAAGACAUUUUCAUAUUCUAUCCAUUGUUUUGUAUGCAUUUUAUUCCUCACUACUGUAUAUAUAGUUGACGAUGCUAAGCGUUUUUGAAAUGUCUGUUUUUUUAAGAUGUUCUGAAGUGCCUGAUAUAUGUUAAAAUUAGAGGUAAUAA